rnacentral:rRNA from 1 species
UAGGGAAUCUUCGGCAAUGGACGAAAGUCUGACCGAGCAACGCCGCGUGAGUGAAGAAGGUUUUCGGAUCGUAAAACUCUGUUGUUAGAGAAGAACAAGGACGUUAGUAACUGAACGUCCCCUGACGGUAUCUAACCAGAAAGCCACGGCUAACUACGUGCCAGCAGCCGCGGUAAUACGUAGGUGGCAAGCGUUGUCCGGAUUUAUUGGGCGUAAAGCGAGCGCAGGCGGUUUCUUAAGUCUGAUGUGAAAGCCCCCGGCUCAACCGGGGAGGGUCAUUGGAAACUGGGAGACUUGAGUGCAGAAGAGGGGGGUGGAAUUCCAUGUGUAGCGGUGAAAUGCGUAGAUAUAUGGAGGAACACCAGUGGCGAAGGCGGCUCUAUGGUCUGUAACUGACGCUGAGGCUCGAAAGCGUGGGGAGCAAACAGG